GGACGUAUAGGUCAAGGGAAUAAUAAUAUGAAGCUAAGUUUACACCACGCAACUAGCAUAUAUACAGGGUGACCUCUUUGAAAUGGUCAAAAAUGCUAGAGUAAAUACAGGAGCCACAAAGAAGUAGUUUGAGAUAGGAUACCGGUGGUCGAAUGGAAACCCUUGGACGGAUUUGCAGCACACGUAUGUAAAUUUUUUUUAUAACAAAAAGAUACGCCACUGUUUUUUUGAAAAAAAAAAUUCGAAAUAUUUUGUUCAUUUUUAAUAAAACAAAUUCCUUGCAUUUUUGCGCUCCGAUGCACUUUUUUCGUGCAAAAAAAUAAAAUCCAUACAAGGAUCUUUCAAAAGCUUUUUGUCACAACGAAAAUAUCAUUAUAAUAAAAAAUACAUAAUUUAACUAAACAAUAAACAAUUUAAAUAAAAAAAGAAUAAUUUAAACAAUUCAAACCAAAUGCUCAAAAUGUCCUCGAUGCAUUUCCACACAUUUUCUGCACCUGUUGACCCAAGAUGUACGCGAGCAAAGACCCCUGGAUCGUUUCUCAGAAAGUCCUCUAGAGUUAUGGUGGACUCUAGCAACUAGGUCUUCUCUGUUGGUUAUAGGUGUUGCGUAGAUCAGCUGUUCCAUGGCGCCUUAAACAAAAAAUUCUAGAGGUGUCAGAUCAGGUGACCUUACUGGCCAAGGGACUGCACCACCUCUACAAAUCCACCUGUUGUUGUAGUUCUAAUCUAAGAAAGCCAUAGAGUAAUUAAAAGUAUAAAAAGUAAUUUAAUAUUCAUUUCUCUAUGAAGAAGACAUAAUCUAACCUCAAAUUCAAUGAUUGUUGAUUUUGGCGUUUGAUGGAAGUUUGAUCGUUAUUCGUUUGAUUAUUUGAUUAUUAUUCAUAGAGAAAUGAAUAUUAAAUACUUUUAAUUACUUUAUGUUAUUAUUGCUAGCUUUAUAUUUGUGUUCUGUGAUUGCUAGUCGUUUGAUCGUUUCGUUGUUGCCAAACUGGAUUCGAAAUGGGGAGUUAAAAGAUCCGCAAAGCGGAUUUUAACUAUUUUUAGGUAAAUGUUCGUUAUAGCGAUUUAAGAAACAUUUACCUAUUUUUAUUAUAAAAUAAAUUUUUAUUUGGGGUUUUCCUUAGAGUUGUGUAUCAUAAAUAUUAUGGGUGCCAACAUAGUUCAAUAAAUAAGAAAAGAAGUUGUACCAAGACUGAAAUGAAUAUAAGGAUGAAUAUAGGAUAUAUACAGGAUGUGUUGCAACAAUAGAUGUUAAAAUUAAAAAAAUUACAACUAAAACAAAAAGAAAGGAUGAAUACCUAAAGUUAGAUAUUCCUUUAUGUGGUAUUAUAAAUUUUAACUUAAAUCAUAACCAUAAUCUUGGCACAAGUGGUAGUUUGAAAUUUAUGAAGCUUUCUGAAGAGGUAGGCAGCAAAGUUUAAUAUAAUUAUAUAUAACCCAUAAAUAGUUGUUUUUCUUUUCGUUAUACAAGCUGGUUCUUUUAAAUUUUAGACUAAAAAGAUGUUUGAAGGAUAUUUUGAGAAUGGAAUGAGCCCUGCCGAAGCAAGAAGAUACCAUGAAAGUUUGUUAUUAUUGGAUGAAAAAGGUUGGAAAAAAUGGCAGAUGCCUCUCUAAAUCCUACUAAAAAUGCACUUUAUUACCUUCAUAAAAAAUGGACUUUAAGGCAUUUUGGACAGGUAUUUGAGCCAAUAUUAAAACAUUAAGAAAAAAAAAGUUUUAUCAUCAAUCAGGAAUAAAUAUUGAAAUUGCAACAGACCCAUGAGCAGUAUUGGUAGUUACGCCAAUCAUGAAAAGAGCACAGGAACUGCAGUCCUCCAAGGAACUGAUAUUUUGCGACAGUACAUCAAGUUGUGACACCAGCGAGACCACAGUUACUGUGUUACUAACAGCUACAAAAGCUGGUGCCAUUCCCAUUGCGAUACUUUUGCAUGAUGGGCAAACUUUUGAAAGUUAUGAACAAGCCUAUGGAUUGCUAAAGCAGACAUUUCCAAACUCUUUUGGAGGGAAUUUUCUAAUUAUUUCCACUAAAAAAAACAACACAAAUGAAUCUUUUGAGCCUAUAUGUUUUAUGACAGACGACUCCAAAGCUGAAAAGACAGCUCUUAAAAAUACAUUUCCAAAUUCUACUCAGCUACUGUGUUUUUUCAUGUGCUUCAAAAAGAAUGGCGAUGGCUUUCUGAAAACAAAAAUAAGAUUUCCAUGGAAAAGCGUCAAAUCUUAAUGCAUUCAUUUCGUAAGAUUAUGUAUUCUGAAAGUAAUGAAGAUCUAAAUGAACACAUGUUAAAGCUGCAGCAAGAAGCGGAGGAUUGUCCAAAUUUUUGGGCAAGAUUUGAAAUUUAUUUUUCUAGAGGACAAGAGUGGUUGUAUCUUCAUAGGAAACAUUUGGUCAUAAGAGGGAAUAAUACAAACAAUUACGCAGAAGUAACCAUCAGAAUACUUAAGGACAUUAUUCUUCAUCGUACAAAAGGUUAAAAUUGUGUGGCAUUAGUUGAUUUCAUUGGUUUUGUUUGGGAGGAGUAUUUUAAAUGAUUCUAUUUAAUGAUCUAUUAGAUUUUGCCCAUGGAAGAAGAAACGAAAUAAAAAAUAAUUACUUAAAGCUAUGUUCAAAAGUAAAUGAUUUUAAACCGGGAUAUAUUGUAACUUUGGGAGAUGGAUUGUAUCAAAUUUUAAUUAUAGUAGUAGUUCUAAUAUCUUUUUAAAAUACUUUAUUGACGUGCCAAUUGUCUUGCAGGCAUAAAUGGGUCAUUUUGUAAGCACCAAGCUUACCUACAUAAACAUUUAAAUAUUCCAUUUUUGAAUGCCCCUGCUAUUAAUUUUCAAGAAAGAGCAUCACUUGGGUGGCUAGCUCUUGGCGAGAAAUGCCCUGAAUCCAAAUGGUUUUUGGCCCUAAGUGAGUUUUCAGAAAAUGCAGAUAAUAUACAAGAUUGUGGUUAUCAAGAAAACCAUCUGGACUAGAAUCGAUGCACCAUCUUCAUUAUUUGAUGAGACAAUAAUGGAGAUUGAUGACACGGUGGAAGAUGACAACAAAAAGGAAGAUGUAAUUGAAGGAAUUAAAGAAGAAUGUAAAAAAUUUGAUAAAAUGCUUAAGGAAAUACCUUUAAAAGCAUUAAAAAGACUUGCAAAUAAACUAAAAAGAAUACAAACUGCGCCGCAGCUAUAUUCUUUCAUAGACAGUAAAGUUUCUAGGGUCAAACGCAACUCAAAAAUAAAAGUCCAGCCAACAACUGCUUCUCGAAGACGGCCUGGAGCCACUCGUGCAAGUUGAAUAAUCCCUUCAGGAAGACCACCUUGUGGCAAACGUAGUAGCCAAAGUGCUGUCAGAGGUAGUGGAAAACGAAAACAUAACAUAAGUUUAAAUAUAUCUUUAAAUCAACGAAACGCAAUUAUUCAUGGUCCCGCGUAUUAAAUACAUAAUAUGUACAAAAGUAAUAAAAAAUAUUGUUUAGAUUUUUUAUUAAAUUUUUAUUUUUAA